CUGUUCAGGUGAUCGCUGCACGUUUACGUGUAGAGGAAAGUCCAUGCUCGCACUGGCUGAGAUGCCAGUAGUGUUCGUGCCUAGCCAAUUCAUAAGCUAGGGUAGUCUGGCAUUAUGCUGGGCUAACGGCAGGUGACGCACCUAAGUCUUUAGAUAUGGUGUGAUAGCCUUGAAAGUGCCACAGUGACGGAGUCCAUGUGGAAACAUAUGGAGUGGAACGAGGUAAACCCCGCGAGCGAGAAACCCAAAAUAUGGUAGGGGCAUUUUCUGAACCGGAAAUGAACGGGUCAGAUGAACAAGAUCGUAGGUCUUGUAGAUAGAUGGUUACCACCGGAGUACGAGGUUCAUCACCGCUUGUAGUACUAAGGUACAGAACAUGGCUUAUCGAA
rfam:Bacillus pseudofirmus OF4, complete genome.